rnacentral:lncRNA from 1 species
GCAACUUGAAUUAAACCAUCUUGGGCUGAACUGUUGAAGAGAAGACCGAACUUGGCUGAAAGGCUUGAAAUCUGUGGCCAACGCUAGGCUGGACUGAGCGAAAAUGCUUGCUCACGGAUUGGGCUUGCUGUGAUUGAACAAGCUGGGCCGAAUUUGUUGCUGUGAAGAUGGGUCCACGAGAUUGAAGCUUGCGGUUUCAAAUGGCCCGACUGCUGGGCCUUGGGCUUCGCUAGUAGUUGGUGUCGAGCUGAGGAAGACGCGGCAGGAUUCGCUGGGAACGUGGACUGUUGCGGGCGUGAGGAGCGGCAGAGAAGCGGACGAAUGAAGAGGAGCUGUUGUGGAGUUCGCUAGUCUGUUGCUAGGUCAACACUGGCCCGG